GGCGAAUUGUGUUGGGAUGCGUUUUGCACUCCUAGAGUUGAAAGUAUGUCUCGUCUACGUAUUCAGUGCUUUCCAAGCAAAGAGAUGUUCUCAAACACAGGUACCGGUACAAUUUAGGAACUCGGGUGGUCUUUUGUCACCAAAACCAAUUGAAUUAAUCAUGGAACCUAGAACUAAUUGCCCUGUGAA